rnacentral:tRNA from 2 species
CAUUAAAUGACUGAAUAUGUAAGUAUUGAUUUUUUAAAUCAAUGUAUAAUAGAAUUAACUACCUAUUUUUAAUGG